UAACACAUGCAAGUCGAACGAUGACCCGGAGCUUGCUCUGGUGAUUAGUGGCGAACGGGUGAGUAACACGUGGGCAACCUGCCCCUAGCUCUGGGAUAACUGCGGGAAACUGUAGCUAAUACCGGAUGUGACACGAGACUGCAUGGUCUUCGUGUGGAAAGAUUUUUCGGCUAGGGAUGGGCCCGCGGUCUAUCAGCUUGUUGGUGGGGUAAUGGCUCACCAAGGCGACGACGGAUAACCGGCCUGAGAGGGCGACCGGUCACACUGGGACUGAGACACGGCCCAGACUCCUACGGGAGGCAGCAGUGGGGAAUAUUGCACAAUGGGCGCAAGCCUGAUGCAGCGACGCCGCGUGAGGGAUGACGGCCUUCGGGUUGUAAACCUCUUUCAGUAGGGACGAAGCGAGAGUGACGGUACCUGCAGAAGAAGCGCCGGCCAACUACGUGCCAGCAGCCGCGGUAAUACGUAGGGCGCAAGCGUUGUCCGGAAUUAUUGGGCGUAAAGAGCUCGUAGGCGGUUUGUCACGUCGGCUGUGAAAUCCCGAGGCUCAACCUCGGGCUUGCAGUCGAUACGGGCAGACUAGAGUGGAGCAGGGGAGACUGGAAUUCCUGGUGUAGCGGUGAAAUGCGCAGAUAUCAGGAGGAACACCGAUGGCGAAGGCAGGUCUCUGGGCUUUAACUGACGCUGAGGAGCGAAAGCGUGGGUAGCGAACAGGAUUAGAUACCCUGGUAGUCCACGCCGUAAACGGUGGGCGCUAGGUGUGGGGACCAUUCCACGGUCUCCGUGCCGCAGCUAACGCAUUAAGCGCCCCGCCUGGGGAGUACGGCCGCAAGGCUAAAACUCAAAGGAAUUGACGGGGGCCCGCACAAGCGGCGGAGUAUGUUGCUUAAUUCGAUGCAACGCGAAGAACCUUACCAAGGCUUGACAUAUACCGAAAACUCGUAGAGAUACGGGGUCCGUAAGGGCGGUAUACAGGUGGUGCAUGGUUGUCGUCAGCUCGUGUCGUGAGAUGUUGGGUUAAGUCCCGCAACGAGCGCAACCCUCGUUCUAUGUUGCCAGCACGUUAUGGUGGGGACUCAUAGGAGACCGCCGGGGUCAACUCGGAGGAAGGUGGGGAUGACGUCAAAUCAUCAUGCCCCUUAUGUCUUGGGCUGCAAACAUACUACAAUGGCCGGUACAAAGGGCUGCGAUACCGCAAGGUGGAGCGAAUCCCAAAAAGCCGGUCUCAGUUCGGAUUGGGGUCUGCAACUCGACCCCAUGAAGUCGGAGUCGCUAGUAAUCGCAGAUCAGCACGC
rnacentral:rRNA from 1 species